AUACCUGAAUCGCGUUUCAGCGCAACUUUAGGCGUGUCUUUAACCACCCGACACCACGUUUAAUGGAAAUAGAGGGUGUGCUCCUGAGGUCUAUGUCCCUGAAAUCUCGAGUUCGCUGAACUCUGGUAUCAUGGAAUAUGUGAGUUAUCAAUCCAUUUCGAAGAAGAUGCCAGGCACCAUGGUUGGUAACACGCCAUAAAGACACCACUAACAGCUGUUUGUCACGCAAAAAUGAAGAAACAAAGAAGAAACCAUUCAAGAUACGCGCGAGAACGAAACGGCAGAAGAACGUAUAUAACGGCGAAGGGUGAAAAGAAAUAUGGAGAACUGCUCGGAGAGCUGGUAGACGGCGCAUAAAAAAUGCCAAAUGUUUCGGGAUGUAGGAGGCAACGCGAACCUCGUCGACGCCAUUAACUCUUGAAUUUUUAAUACGUGAACGUGCAGCCCUUGCGUAUCAUGAAUUCUGCCUUGAAGCACGGCGACAUGCUUGAAACAUCGAACAUCGAACGUCGAGCCACGCGUUUGUUCGAUCGUCGACUGAAAAGGGAACCGCUUACGACGAAAUAGUUCUCUUUCGCGAUUAGCGCCGGUGUCACGGCACUUCCGCUGUGUCUCUACCUCGCGCCACAUCCUAUCGCCUUUUACUUCUUCCCUUCUUUAAUAUUCAGCCACCGUUCUCGUAACCUACGUUGUGCCGCCGCGCCGCCAGACACACGUAAAUACGCGUACCUCACAAAUAUAUCGCGCAUGUGUGCAACGUGUUAUCCUCUGUGCGUGUCACUAUGCGCCUGUUUGCAGCAUAUGCAUACAAGCGUGCAUUCUCUGCGAGACAAUGGGCGUGCCCACCUCACGUGACUGGCACGUGAGCACCCUUAAAAAGGGCCCUCGGUUCCUGACGUUCAUUCAUACUGGUCCGCCUGUUUCGUGGUCGACACUGAUGACCCUACACCGCGCGUCGGAAAGUCAAGAAGAAUCGAACGACAGAAAGAGCAGAAAACCGCUUUUUAACCGUGUACCAUUCAGAGACGGUUUUCGUGAGCCUUGCAGGUGCGCGGACGAUUACACCGUGCAAACUAUGCGUCACCGUAACAAUGUCCUUUGCUCGACAGCUUCAACCGCUGCCCGACAGAAGUACCCUGCCGGGACAGGAGAAUAAUCCGUGGAACGAAUGCAGUGAACUUGUUACUUAAAUAAGCCGUGAAAGAUGGAGUGUGUUUGGAUAAAGGUAAAUAAACGCGUCUUGUGCACCGAGUACAAUGACCUUUCGUACUUCUGAAUUCGUAUUUAUUCAACCAUUUAAGCUCUUUAUACAAUGUAUGUACGCAAGUAUUAUAAAUGAAAAGACGAUCGGGGAUGACAGGAUUCUUCGAUCUACGAAAUGCGACGUAAUAAAAGCGAGCAAGUGAACGGCAAUGUCAAUGGUUUCACGACUAUUCUUGGAUCUCUUCCAAUAGCGCUAUCGUGCUCGGAAUCGAUAAAGGAACUAACGUUUAUUAUUUCGCAAGCAACCCCUCCCGUGUGAACGCGCUCGACCCUCACAAAUCGUAAUUGCCGGGCAACGAACAGGCAUGUCUAGCUG